rnacentral:misc_RNA from 1 species
GGAGCUUUCUAAAAUUAUGGAUUAUUUAGGAUUAAGGUUAGAGGUAAUAUGUGAGGAUGCAAAUGAAUUUAAUUUUAGCAAACUCUGGCUUAGCUCAUUUGUGGAAGAAACCUUAAAUUUAAGCAUGGCCUCAACUCAUUUAUUGAAUGAGUCAAGAUAAGUCCUAGUACUGCUGUGCAUCCUUUCUUCAGUUAUGAUCUUUAUAGUAUUGUGCACUCCACCCAAAUAUCACACGUUCAUGCAUUAAAUCAUAUUACAAUUGGAAGCUACUUUGUAACCAUGUGAAAGUUAAUUGCAUU